rnacentral:tRNA from 1 species
GGCUACCUGGCGCAAUGGUAGCGCGUUUGGCUUCGAUUGCUAGAUAGGUUACCAAAAGGUUGCAGGUUCGAGUCCUGCGGUGGUCA